rnacentral:rRNA from 1 species
AGCAGCCGCGGUAAUUCCAGCUCCAAUAGCGUAUAUUAAAGUUGUUGCAGUUAAAAAGCUCGUAGUUGAAUUUCGGGGUUAGUAGGUUGGUCAUGCCUCUGGUAUGUACUGGUCUCACUGAUUCCUCCUUCCUGAUGAACCGUAAUGCCAUUAAUUUGGUGUUGCGGGGAAUUUGGACUGUUACUUUGAAAAAUUAGAGUGUUUAAAGCAAGCUAACGCUUGAAUACAUUAGCAUGGAAUAAUGAAUAGGACGUUCGAUCCUAUUUUGUUGGUUUCUAGGAUUGACGUAAUGAUUAAUAGGAUAGUUGGGGCAUUAGUAUUC